UUGACCUCGAAUCAGGUAGUGGAUACCCGCUGAACUUAAGCAUAUCAAUAAGCGGAGGAAAAGAAACCAACCGUGGAUUACCUCAGUUAACGGCGAGGGGAAGGCGGCCAAAGCGGAAGUUAAAUAGUCCGUAUACAAGGGUUUACGGACGAAGUAGAGUCAGGCAGGAGGUAUGAAAACGAA
rnacentral:rRNA from 1 species